GAUGAACGCUGGCGGCGUGCCUAAUACAUGCAAGUCGAGCGAACAGACGAGGAGCUUGCUCCUCUGACGUUAGCGGCGGACGGGUGAGUAACACGUGGAUAACCUACCUAUAAGACUGGGAUAACUUCGGGAAACCGGAGCUAAUACCGGAUAAUAUAUUGAACCGCAUGGUUCAAUAGUGAAAGACGGUUUUGCUGUCACUUAUAGAUGGAUCCGCGCCGCAUUAGCUAGUUGGUAAGGUAACGGCUUACCAAGGCAACGAUGCGUAGCCGACCUGAGAGAGUGAUCGGCCACACUGGAACUGAGACACGGUCCAGACUCCUUCGGGAGGCAGCAGUAGGGAAUCUUCCGCAAUGGGCGAAAGCUUGACGGAGCAACGCCGCGUGAGUGAUGAAGGUCUUCGGAUCGUAAAACUCUGUUAUUAGGGAAGAACAAAUGUGUAAGUAACUAUGCACGUCUUGACGGUACCUAAUCAGAAAGCCACGGCUAACUACGUG
rnacentral:rRNA from 1 species